rnacentral:misc_RNA from 1 species
AUAUAUAUUUCAACCUUCUCUUGUUGGAGUGGUUUGGAUGUGGGGGUUUGCUGGCCUCUUAAAAGGUUCAGCUCCCUUGAAAUGCAUUAGCAGAACGGACCUGUUCAUUGGUGUGAUAACUAUCUACGCUAUUGAAUGUGAGGGGAUGUUCAGCUUUCUAACUGUCCUUGGACAAUUUAUCAUUUU